UACGGAGGGUGCGAGCGUUGUCCGGAUUUAUUGGGUUUAAAGGGUGCGUAGGCGGCUUUUUAAGUCUGGGGUGAAAGCCCGCUGCUCAACAGCGGAACUGCCCUGGAUACUGGAGAGCUUGAGUACAGACGAGGUUGGCGGAAUGGACUGAGUAGCGGUGAAAUGCAUAGAUACAGUCCAGAACCCCGAUUGCGAAGGCAGCUGACUAGGCUGUUACUGACGCUGAGGCACGAAAGCGUGGGGAGCGAACAGG
rnacentral:rRNA from 1 species